rnacentral:rRNA from 1 species
CCUACGGGAGGCUGCAGUCGCGAAUUUUUCACAAUGGGCGCAAGCCUGAUGAAGCCACGCCGUGUGCGGGAUGAAGGCCCUCUGGGUUGUAAACCGCUGUCAGGGAGGGGGAACCGCUGAACGUGAAUAGCGUUCAGUCUGACUGCCUUCCAAAGGAAGCCCCGGCAAAACAUGUGCCAGCAGCCGCGGUAAUACAUGUGGGGCAAGCGUUGUUCGGAAUUACUGGGCAUAAAGGGUGCGUAGGCGGCUUGAUAAGUCAGUGGUGAAAUCCGGUGGCCCAACCAUCGAACUGCCAUUGAUACUGUCGAGCUUGAGUGCGUGAGGGGUGACUGGAACGGGUGGUGUAGCGGUGAAAUGCGUAGAUAUCACCCGGAAGGCCAAAGGCGAAGGCAAGUCACUGGUACGCAACUGACGCUGAGGCACGAAAGCGUGGGGAGCAAACAGGAUUAGAUACCCGUGGUAGUCCACGCCGUAAACGAUGGGCACAAGGUUGGUGCNCUGCUCUAGUGUGUCGUCGGCCGGUACGACGUAAUUUAGUAGUAACGUCGGCCCCGGCCCGGUCGGGGUAGGUUAGUUGGUUCGGUACGACGGUACGUUACGUAAACGUUAAAACGGUUAAAGUUAGGUACGGGUUACGGUUAGACGACGACCGGACCGGACGGACGACGGACGGGAGGGAGGUG